UCACACCCCAAUUCUUGAAUGAAUAAAUAUAAUCGGGGUACAACUAAUUCAUAGAAAUAAACAAGGAACAACCUUGUUAAAACCCGAAUAAUAAGAUAACAAGUCGGGUUAGGCCACUAUGGAUCACAAGUUUUGCUUCAUGUUUCUGACAACCGACGUUCAUUAACAUAGAACUAGAAAUUUUAAAUUGAAGCUCAACAUGAAGUCAUCUUAAGUUAAGAAAGCAAAAGAUGUAUAAGAGCUAUUACUAUAGCGGAAGUCUAUGUAGAAAUUGAACCCUAGCCUCAGCUCAGUCUCAUCACACCGGCCAGCCAAACUGAAAACAUUUGAAAGUAUUUUUGGGCUAAGUACUAAUGUACUCAGUGAGCAUGCAUUUUCAUAAACAUUUCAUAUUUUCGUAAAGACAGUUUAUCCAAUCAUACUUGACAUAACUUAGAAGGUUUUAAAGUGAAAUAACUUCUAAGCAUGUUAAAAUAAUUUCUUUCAUUUGUCCGCACAUGUCACACUCCCUUUCUGUUACUCGUUGUGAUCCCGGACCUUUUAACCACCGACGGAUCCAUUUCUCUCAUUGCACUUGCCCUGAGGACGUAACUCAGACAAGUUGAAUUGACCUCGGGACGCUACCUAGGCAGGCCCUUACAUUACAUGCUCCGUAACACAUCCCGUCGAGCACCCUUAUAACGCCUCUGGCCAGUGCCCAAUGGAGAUCAACCCACCAGGUCAGCUAGCAUGUGUACACGAUUCUCAGACAACGUGUUAGGUCAUAAGAGAACCUCAAUUGAUUAACUUUGCGAACCUUAAACAAAGCAGAGUGCACAUAAACAUUUUAUUGGAUAAACAGUUUGCAUUGCACUAAAUAAAUAGUUUGCAUUUCAUUGAAAUAUUUAGAGCUUAAUAACUCAAUAAUACUUUAUACAUUUGGAAAGUAAGCCCGCCUGAUUAGGCAAAGCCUGAAGAUCAUAAUCACAUAAAUUCAUCUCGGAGAAGCAGCGCUAAUCCUCUUGGUUUACAAAGCCUACAAAAAAUUCUACUCUUAAUAGGUCUCCGGAAUCUAAUCUUAAGUUAUAGUGUAGUGCUUAACAUUCUAUAUUCACUUAGCCGGGUUUUCAAAAAUUAAUGAAUAGAUAAUUGAAAACUAAAAUUCUAGAAUUUUCAAGUAGUGCUUACUCGGUUUUCUUAAAUAAUUGAAUUUAUAAAUAAACUCAAUUAAAUCAUAAAUACUUAUUGCAUAAUGCAAGUGCAAAUGCAAAUUCAUUUCAUGCUUAACUUGUAUAAUAAUACGUAAUUACACUUAAUGCAAUCAUCUUCUAAAGUAAUUAAUCGAACUCAAUUACAAAGUCAAAAUAAUAAAUUAAUUAAACAAGUCCAACAUUUUAAAUAAAGGCCAAGCCUAACAAUUAAAUAUAGGCAGCCUAUUUCAUUAUUAAAAAUCGCAGGGCCCAAAACUUAUUGAAAGAAAUCGGCCCAGUUGAUUGUAUAAGGGACAGCCCAUGCUAUUAAUAAUUAAAUCGGGCCCAAUCAAAAAUAAUCUCAGCCCAACUCCUUUACAAAUUUCGGUCCAGAUUUCUAAGGCCCAAACUUGCCCUAAAUCCCUUCUUCCUUUUUCUUCAACCAAAUCUGCCGCUCACACACACACAUCUCGUCUCUCCCUUUCUCUCCUCGGUUCAGGCAGUCCGCCCCCUUCUCCCUCAGAAUCUGCCGCCGAGCAGAUCGCCGGAGGAGCAGCGGCGAGAAGCCGCCGCCACCACCUUUCCCUCUCCUCAGACACUGAGCCCCUGUAACACCCCCACCAUUCCCUCUGCUCUCUCUUCUCCCUCAUCUCCGGCAACUCAAAGGACGGUCCACACACACGCCUAAACGAUGAAGCGGCGUUGAGAAUCGCCCCCCUCCGUCUCCCUCCUUGGCGACGGCGAAGCGCCGCCGCCUCCCUCGAUCCCUCUCUCCUUGAUUUUCGGUGUCUACAACUAAGGAUCACCGCCAAACUCUCCAGACCUCAAAAUCGACUCCCUUCUCUCGAAUCCGGCGACCACAGAACAGCCAUGGCCGCCGCCGUUCUCUCUCUCCCCUCCACUCAAAUCCGGUCGACAGCAGCGAAGGCCGCCACUGACCACCGCGCCCUGCCUCCCUCUGCUUUCUCAACUCAACAGCAACGACACCCUCCCCAUUCGCUCAGGACCGAAGAUUAAAACAGGGCUUCAAGACUAAAUCUUUUCUUUUCCUUUUAUUAAAAAAAACCAUGUUUCAUAUGUAGUAUGUAAACACAGAUGGUAUGCACAUGUAUAUGAAUGCCAUUUGUUCAAAAGUUUUGGUUCAAUUUAUAUGUGAAAGUAAGUGACAUGCAUACACAAAAACAGGAAUUGUUGUCUGCUGCACAUUAGAGACAUGAAUACUGGAGGAAAUCGCUGAAACUGAAUUUGGGGUGCUAACCGUGAAUGGAGGUAAAAUGGGCAGAGUGGUUUGUAGAUGAAGUCUUUAGAGCUUUCAGCUGAGUUUGCGGAGUGAAACGUGUGGUAUAGCUGAACUUGAACUUUCAGCUGAGUUUGCGGAGUGAAACGUGUGGUAUAGCUGAACUUGAACUUCUGUGGGUGGAGCUCUGCACUUAGUUCCUUGGUAUGUUGGAAUAAGAGAGUAAAUUGAAAGAGAAAUGAGAUAAGGUCUUACCAAGUGGAAGGGAAUGGGUCUUUUGUUGGAGUAUAAUGACUUCGCAGAGAAGUUUGGGUAUAUUUGAUUGUUGCUUUAGGCACGGCUAAAGCUUUACUUUUGGAGUUGAUUGGAUUGACAAGGGAUGGUGUAGGGUGGCUGGUAGGGAGGUAGAGUAUUGGGUGUGGAUUUGACAAUCAAAACUGUAGGGAUGAAAUAGCGAAUAUGUAAAAAAUCAUCGGGGUUCGCUAAUUAAAAGUUCGUGUAAAUGUUUAAUCUAUACAUAAUAUAAAU
rnacentral:lncRNA from 1 species